rnacentral:rRNA from 1 species
CACUCCUACGGGAGGCAGCAGUGGGGAAUAUUGCACAAUGGGCGCAAGCCUGAUGCAGCCAUGCCGCGUGUAUGAAGAAGGCCUUCGGGUUGUAAAGUACUUUCAGCGGGGAGGAAGGCGAUAAGGUUAAUAACCUUGUUGAUUGACGUUACCCGCAGAAGAAGCACCGGCUAACUCCGUGCCAGCAGCCGCGGUAAUACGGAGGGUGCAAGCGUUAAUCGGAAUUACUGGGCGUAAAGCGCACGCAGGCGGUCUGUCAAGUCGGAUGUGAAAUCCCCGGGCUCAACCUGGGAACUGCAUUCGAAACUGGCAGGCUAGAGUCUUGUAGAGGGGGGUAGAAUUCCAGGUGUAGCGGUGAAAUGCGUAGAGAUCUGGAGGAAUACCGGUGGCGAAGGCGGCCCCCUGGACAAAGACUGACGCUCAGGUGCGAAAGCGUGGGGAGCAAACAGGAUUAGAUACCCCUGUAGUCCCAUGAU